CAUCGAUGAAGAACGCAGCGAAAUGCGAUAAGUAAUGUGAAUUGCAGAAUUCAGUGAAUCAUCGAAUCUUUGAACGCACCUUGCGCUCCUUGGUAUUCCGAGGAGCAUGCCUGUUUGAGUGUCAU
rnacentral:rRNA from 2 species